rnacentral:rRNA from 1 species
UACGUAGGGUGCGAGCGUUAAUCGGAAUUACUGGGCGUAAAGCGUGCGCAGGCGGUUCGUUAUGUCCGAUGUGAAAGCCCCGAGCUCAACUUGGGAAUGGCAUUGGAAACUGGCGGGCUGGAGUGUGGCAGAGGGGGGUGGAAUUCCACGUUUAGCAGUGAAAUGCGUAGAGAUGUGGAGGAACACCGAUGGCGAAGGCAGCCCCCUGGGCCAACACUGACGCUCAGGCACGAAAGCGUGGGGAGCAAACAGG